UAAGACGGAGGGUGCAAGCGUUGUUCGGAUUUACUGGGCGUAAAGGGCGUGUAGGCGGAUAUGCAAGCCGGGGGUGAAAGCCCUGGGCUCAACCCAGGACGGUCUUCCGGAACUGCAUAUCUAGAGAGGGACAGAGGCAGGUGGAAUUCCAGGUGUAGAGGUGAAAUUCGUAGAUAUCUGGAGGAACACCGGUGGCGAAGGCGGCCUGCUGGUGCUCUUCUGACGCUGAGGCGCGAAAGCGUGGGUAGCAAACAGGAUUAGAUACCCUGGUAGUCCACGCCGUAAACGAUGAGUACUAGAUGUGCGCGGUACGACCCCGCGUGUGUCGCAGCUAACGCAAUAAGUACUCCGCCUGGGGACUACGGUCGCAAGACUA
rnacentral:rRNA from 1 species